AACGGUCAGAGAUAUGAAUCUUAAACGAGCGGCGUCUUAAAAUGAAGGCAUUUAUCGCUGUGAUUGGUGGUGACAUUCAAGCUGAGAAUUACACGUCGGUGUUGACGUCCUCUGCUGCAGCAAGAGGAAACCGAGAUGAUGUCCCACCUACAACAGCGGUGGCAGAAAAUCCAGAGUCGUACAUCAGAUGAGCGGCAAUCUUCUUGAACAAACAGUGCUGCUGACAAGGAGCCAUCUGGGGGCAUAGACAAGCUCUUCCAAAGCUUCAUCACCGCUCCUUGUCGGUCCAUCAUGUGUUAGGAUGAUCCCAACAGGGAGUCAAAGGAGAAGUUCUCCGACAUGGAAUAACAGGCCCUGCAGCCAGAGGAGCUGAGCUGCACAGGUUAAUUAUUUCAUUGGUUAGUCCUCAUCCUAAAAGCCUUGUGUUUCACAACAUUAAAACAGACACUUGCUGUUUAAAAAUACAAAUAAUAAAGCAUCUGUCCGCUGUCUUGC